rfam:Ovis aries breed Texel chromosome 17, whole genome shotgun sequence.
UCCCUGGUGGUCCAGUGGUUAAGACUCUACACUUCCACUGCAAGGGGCCUGGUUUUGAUCCCCAGCUGGGGAA